rnacentral:rRNA from 1 species
GACGAACGCUGGCGGCGUGCCUAAUACAUGCAAGUAGAACGCUGAAGAGAGGAGCUUGCUCUUCUUGGAUGAGUUGCGAACGGGUGAGUAACGCGUAGGCAACCUGCCUUGUAGCGGGGGAUAACUAUUGGAAACGAUAGCUAAUACCGCAUAACAAUGGAUGACACAUGCCAUUUAUUUGAAAGGGGCAAUUGCUCCACUACAAGAUGGACCUGCGUUGUAUUAGCUAGUAGGUGAGGUAAUGGCUCACCUAGGCGACGAUACAUAGCCGACCUGAGAGGGUGAUCGGCCACACUGGGACUGAGACACGGCCCAGACUCCUACGGGAGGCAGCAGUAGGGAAUCUUCGGCAAUGGGGGCAACCCUGACCGAGCAACGCCGCGUGAGUGAAGAAGGUUUUCGGAUCGUAAAGCUCUGUUGUAAGUCAAGAACGGGUGUGAGAGUGGAAAGUUCACACUGUGACGGUAGCUUACCAGAAAGGGACGGCUAACUACGUG